UCAGUUCGGAUUGUAGGCUGCAACUCGCCUACAUGAAGUUGGAAUCGCUAGUAAUCGCGAAUCAGAAUGUCGCGGUGAAUACGUUCCCGGGUCUUGUACACACCGCCCGUCACACCACGAGAGUUUACAACACCCGAAGUCAGUGGCCUAACCGCAAGGAGGGAGCUGCCUAAGGUGGGGUAGAUGAUUGGGGUGAAGUCGUAACAAGGUAGC
rnacentral:rRNA from 1 species